rnacentral:rRNA from 1 species
GACGAACGCUGGCGGCGUGCUUAACACAUGCAAGUCGAACGGAAAGGCCCUGCUUUUUUGGUGUUCUCGAGUGGCGAUCGGGUGAGUAACACGUGUGUAACCUGCCCUUCUUUUUGGGAUAACUUCAGGAAACUGGGCCUACUACCGGAUCGCAUCUCCUGUUGCAUGGUGGGGGUUGGAUAUUUUCGGCGGUUGGGGUUGGAUUCGCGGCUUAUCAGUUUGUUGGUGGGGUAGUGGCUUACCAAGGCAUUGGCGGGUCGGCGGCAUGUGAGGGUGGACGGCGACAAUGGGACUGAGAUACGGCCCAGAGUCCAACGGGAGGCAGAAGUGGGAAAUAUUGCACAAUGGGCGGAAGCCGGAUGAAGCAACGCCGCGGGCGGGAUGACGGCCUUCGGGUAGUAAAACGCAUUAGGCUGUGACGAAGCGUGAGUGACGGUAAUGGGAAAAGAAGCACCGGCUAACUACGUG